AUUCUGUCAGCUUCAGUGAAGUGUGAUUGCAGGUCCUUUACUGAGCAAGGCUUACAGUUCACACUUCAGGUUCCUGGACUCUGUGGUGCUCCUGCACUGCUUGCCAGGUCUUAUGGGAGCAGACACUGUUUGUACAGUGCUCACAGGAUGCUCAGGCCCUAAACUUCAUUUAUAAAAUGAACACUGCAUGGAUAAAUGUUGGCAUCAAAGAUGGGGAUUUAAACCACUGCAAGCAUGCCUUAGUCUGAUUUUGAUUGCUCAAAUCCAUAGAUAGAUCUGACUGGGGCUGCAAGCAGUAGCAAGCAGAAGAGAUGAGAACAGAUUCCAGGAUACCCUGUGGGCAACAAUGUUCUGCUUAGAGUCCAACUUCAACAAAACCCGUGUACAUAGGCCUGAGUGUCUGAGUGACUUCUACAGGCUAUCUGGCUAAUGCGGGUCUUUUUUAAGUCUCAAAUGAGAUUCUGCAUUCUAAGACAUUCACUUUUUCUGAUUUUGGUUCCUCGAGGCCAUUCUUUAACAAAUAAUCAGUGGGCUCAGGCUGUCCACUGAUGAGGAGUAAAUUUUGUACACCACCCAAAUGGGACACAAUGCAUUACCAGCAUCUGAAACCCCAGCACUUCAAAGAGAAGACUGGAAAGCAGUAACUGACCUAAUGGGCAAAAAAAGUGAUAUCUUCCUGAUAAACCUUUGCAAUCAUGUGAAAAGUGCUAAUGUGGCAUCUAAACUAGAAGAAAAAUCCUGACUGAAGAAAGCAGCAAGAAAAAGAAGUGACUGCAGCAGGAUCUGACAAAUGCUCACCUUUAAGUAGCAUGUCUUUGAAAUGAAAGAAUGUUUGUCUUGUUCAGUUCUUAAUAAACUUGUGUCUCUAAUCAACUAAUAAAUCAGAAGCCAUUGUCACUUGUUACUGACUGGCUACACAGAGUGGCUUCCAGGAAUGACUGGAUGUUGAGACAAACCAACGUUCUCAUCUUUACAUACAGCCCUUUCUGUAGUUCAUGGUGGACCUCUGUGCUCUGAAAAUGCUUUUGAAAGUGAGAAAUAAAGUGAAUUACAAAAACUGCAACAGUAAGCUUUG
ensembl:lncRNA